rnacentral:lncRNA from 1 species
UUCUGUUAAUUUGUUUGUUUUAAAUUGUUUUUUACUUCAAAGAUAAUUUGUCUGUCUUUACAAUAGUACAAAAUUAACUACAUUUAUUGAUAGUUGUUAGUGUGUUAAGUAUACUUGAUGAAUUGGUUACAUUUCUCUGUCACAAAUUUAAUAUCCAUUUUUUUUGUCUUGUAAAUGUACAAAGUGUGAAUUGCCAAGAAUGGAUUAAAUAUUUUAAAUAUUGUUGCUAAAUAAUAACGUUUUACUUGUGUUGUAUGUUUUUCAGAGCAGCGGCUUUUCGUUGGAAAACAUCAGCUUAGUUUAUAAACUGAAAUUAUUCUAUUGCACAUCUUUAAUCGGUACCCAUAAAAAUCUAGACUGUACAUGUCUGAAUCUUACAAAUCUGGAAACUAGAAUUUCGAACUUAGUUAAAAUCUGAAAGGUACAAAAAUGGAUUACAUAUUUUUAUAAAUAUCCUAUUAAGAGGUUAGUGUUGGCCUUAAAUAUACAAUUGCAUAAAAUACAAUGUUUAAGGGACGAUGUGUAUUAAUUUUUUUUUUUUAAAUAAGCGCUUUUACGUAACAUUCCCUUUAUUUGCCGACGUCGGAAUUCCGCGAUUAUAUUUGUAGAAAAUUGAACGUCUCGCUUUGAAAUUCCAUAUCACUGUUCCAUCGUUAUUUGGCAAUCAAUUUUCGUUUUGCUAGGACCUCGCAGGGAAGUCCAACACUCGAAUAUUCUCGAAAGCGUGUCCGUAACAUAUGUAAAGUGAUCAAUCCAGACCUAGGUACUAGUGUAACACUUUUAAGUUUCGACGAGUAGUGGAGAAUUUCGGGGCCCGACGUGUCCGUCCCCGAUGGUUGCCGGUAUUUGCGUUCCGCUGCCCGCUAUUCUGCCGCUGCCGGAACUUGCGCGUGGAAUAUCAAGUCAACGAGACGGCGGAAUAAAAAAGAAUUCCGCCGCGAAAUCGAUUUAAACCAAUACUCGCCAUUUAUAAGUUAUAAUACGAGAAUAUAUAAAACAAUGUUCAAUUGCUUAUACGCAGUCCGGGGGAGGGUGGGGUGUCUUCGACGGUUCUUACUGUUCUUAGGUGCGUCUAAAAUGAUUUUUUUUGUUUUUGACUUGUCGCCCAGAUAAAAAAAAAAAAUCGUUCAACGUUUUGCCGUUCCGUGUGGCGCUAUUUCAAAUAACGCUGUGCGUCCGUGUUUAACACCAAAUACUAUUAUAAACGAUCCAACUAGUUUGCGCAACAACAGUAUUGCCAACAAUUGAUUCAAAAGUAAAAUUAAAUUUUAAAGUGAGGCGUUCAAAUUCCCAUAAAUAUAAUCGCGGAAUUUUGACAUUAUGCAUACUACUAGAAAUAUAGAAAGAGCCGAUAAUUUGACGUUGGCGAGUAAAGGAUUUUUGUACAAACGUUUAGUUUAAAAAAAUAAUAAUAAAAAUUGCUUAUACGUAGCCCCUUAAAUAUUGAAUUUAUGUAAUGGUAUAUUUAUGGCCUACACUUACCCCUUGAACGGAUAAACAUAAUAUUGUGUAGUCCAGAUUAAUACGGCCCAGUUUUGUACUUUCCAGAUUUUUACGGAUUUCGAGAUUCUAGUUUCCAUAUUUGUACGCAC